UGAGCCACCGCGCCCGGCCUAAACUUUUUUUUCUUGAGUCUUAGUCUAUAUUUAGAAGAAUGUAUUAGUAAGGAAGAUACUAAUAAUUGAUUAGGACCUUGUUUAUCAACUCACUUUUAUGACUGUUUUAUUCUGCUUAUUACUAAUGUUUAUUUUAUUUGAAUGGAAACUAGAAUCAAACAGAAAUAAAUCUUAGAUUGGCAGGGAGAGAGAGGGCCAAUAUUUUUAGAUCCUGCUGCUUGUAGAGAAACCUUUCUUGUUAAUCAGUGGUUUUCUUUUAUAGUGGAAUGAUCAAUAAUAAUGCUGAUCAUGAAUUCGUACAUAGUUAAGCUUCACAUCUCAGAAGAACCAGUAACAAAAUCCUCUGUCAUCUACUCUACUUCAAGCUCUAUUUUAAAGUUUCUUCAUAUAGCAAGUUAUACUCAUUACCAUUAAUAAAUUAAAAAUUAUUUCACAAAAAAUUCUAGACUUUCAUGAAUUUCUUAUAAAAAGGACUAAAAUGAUAGCUUAGUGGGAGAUAAUUUUUUUAGUCUCAUAUUUAGCUUUUGGGAUAUUUCUGUAGGAGAGUAGUUCAUGUUUUGCUACUUUCUCUACUGCCAAAUAAUUUGAUAUUUCACAUAUGUGAAGUGUACUACAUUUUAUGGCAUUUAAGUCUAGUCUCAGCAGUCAGUCAUUUCAGGACUAUUUUAAUUGUUUGCUAAUGAUUCUAUUUUAUCAUCCUCCUCUUCUACAAUCUAUCACUCAUAGCAGUGCUAAAUUAAUUUUCCUCGAAGAUCACUUUAUGGGGUAGAUGUAUAUGAUCUUACAUGAAAACUUUUCCUGUUUCUUGCAAGCCUGUAGUUCACAUUCCUUGACCUGCUAUACAGUCAGAGAGACCUGGAUUAUAAUCCCAAGCCUACCACUUGACAAGUCUGUAGUUUAUUUAUUCAUUCAAUAAAUAUUUACUUAUUUACUCGACUUACUAUUUACCUAGCAUUUUUUGAGUAUUGAAGACACACAAGUCAUGAACAGGACAGAUGAGGUCCCAAGCUUACAUUCUAGUAGUAUUUACUAUCUUGGUAGCCCUGUUCUUCCCAUGAACACCACCAAGGAUUUAGCAGUCACCUCUUACCAUGCUUGUUUCCUCUCAUCAGCAGUACUGCCAGCUACUUGAAAGCAGAAAUUACAUAUUAGUUCUUGUGUCUCUAGUUCUGUGACAUCACAUACAGUGGGUUUUCAAUAGUUACUGUGAUCAUAAUGGGCUAGUCUUAGUUGUUUUUCACUGUUGGAAUUAUUUGAUUUUUAAAAUUUAUUACUGAUAUUUGAAUUAACUAUUAGAUAACAAUUAGAACCAUGUCAGAACAAUUAAAAAGAUAACUUGUCAAUUAGAAUAAAAUAUUUAAAAUGUAAAAAGAGUAUUAAAAUUUACCUGAUAAUUAUUUUCUAACUGUUUUUUUCUACUAGAAGUUUUUCAAUUUUUUU